rnacentral:lncRNA from 1 species
UUUCCGAGUUGGUCAAUUGCUUUCUUUUCCUUGGGCAGAACUGCUCAGUUUUUCUUAUAUGUAAAAUGGGAAUAGUUACAGAACCUUUCCCAUUUGGGUUGUCGCUAGUAUUAAAUAAAAGAGUUCGUGCAAAUCUUCAAGCUCAGUGCGAGGCAAGGUUACUGUUCAAUUCCUGGUGGCCAUUGUGGACAUAGCACAGACUGGGUGGAGGCACAGCCUGGCUGGAUUCUGGAGGCUUCUUUGGGGGAUAGUCUCCAGUGUUUAGAAAGCUGAGGCCAAACAGGACACAAGCCAUCCUGUCCUUACACGCACCUUGCCUCUGGCUCCCGUUCACGCACCUGCACCUGCACACACACACAGACACCCUCCCCGGGGCCUUCUUCUGGCCUGGCCUGAGCAGGUCUGGAAUGUGACCUGCAGGAAGGACUGGGGAUCGUCCUCCCCAGAGGACCCAGAGGACCCAGAAGACCCAAUGGGGGUCUUUGAGUGCAAGCUCCUUCUGGGGAGAUGGCCGUGUCUGGCCCACGUCUUCAGGUGCUCACAGGACUGUGAGGAAUUUGCAAAUCCAGGUUUAAGGUUUGGGAAGCGAGGCUUUGUGACCUGCCUGCCUGUCUCAGCGUCUUGCGGUUCUCACAGGAGCUGAAUUUCUGAGGUUGCAUGGUUCCCUCUGAAUUCCUGAAAGCCCGAGGACAAACAGAACAGAAGAUGUUCUCAACAUGAGUGUGGGUAAUUUGUUUCCAGUGAAGACACAGUGUGGAUAAUUUACCUGUACAAGUCAAGAGAUGGAUACUUUUCCCAUCCAGUCUCACUGUGAC